rnacentral:rRNA from 1 species
UGAGAAAUAUUGGUCAAUGGGCGAGAGCCUGAACCAGCCAAGUCGCGUGAAGGAAGACUGCCUUAUGGGUUGUAAACUUCUUUUAUACAGGAAUAAAAAGGCUUACGUGUAGGCCAUUGCAAGUACUGUAUGAAUAAGCAUCGGCUAACUCCGUGCCAGCAGCCGCGGUAAUACGGAGGAUGCGAGCGUUAUCCGGAUUUAUUGGGUUUAAAGGGUGCGCAGGCGGGCUUUUAAGUCAGCGGUGAAAUCUGGACGUUUAACGUCCAAACUGCCGUUGAAACUGGGAGUCUUGAGUAUGGAUGAAGUAGGCGGAAUUCGUUGUGUAGCGGUGACAUGCAUAGAUAUAACGAGGAACUCCGAUUGCGUAGGCAGCUUACUAAGCCAUAACUGACGCUCAUGCACGAAAGCGUGGGGAUCAAACAGGAUUAGAUACCCUGGUAGUCCACGCCGUAAAACGAUGAUUACUAGUUGUAUGCGAUAUGAUAGUAUGUGACUAAGCGAAAAGCGAUAAGUAAUCCACCUGGGGAGUACGCCGGCAACGGUGAAACUCAAAUGAAUUGACGGGGUCAUA